UACGGAGGGAGCUAGCGUUGUUCGGAAUUACUGGGCGUAAAGCGCGCGUAGGCGGCUUUGUAAGUUAGAGGUGAAAGCCCGGGGCUCAACCCCGGAACUGCCUUUAAGACUGCAUCGCUUGAAUCCGGGAGAGGUGAGUGGAAUUCCGAGUGUAGAGGUGAAAUUCGUAGAUAUUCGGAAGAACACCAGUGGCGAAAGGCGGCUCACUGGACCGGCAUUGACGCUGAGGAGCGAAAGCCAGGGGGAGCAAAACGGGG
rnacentral:rRNA from 1 species